CGCGUAGGCGGUCGGGUAAGUCGGUUGUGAAAUCCCUCGGCUCAACCGAGGAACUGCACCCGAUACUGCUCGGCUAGAGUACGGAAGGGGAGAGUGGAACUCCUGGUGGAGCGGUGAAAUGCGUAGAUAUCAGGAGGAACGCCGGUGGCGAAAGCGACUCUCUGGUCCGUAACUGACGCUGAGGCGCGAAAGCCAGGGGAGCGAACG
rnacentral:rRNA from 1 species